ensembl:lncRNA
AUGACAAUGAUAAACAUAGUUAUGGAAAUGAAACUGAUUUGCCGUGUAGUGAACUUCAGCGGCGCGCGCGCCUCUCGUCGCUCGAGCGCGGCGGGUGUGUCCUACCGCGCAUGCGCGUCAGGCGGGCAGGCAGAGAGGCAGAGAGGCAGACACAUCCUCACAUCCAGGAGCUGUCCGGUGCGUGCGCCUCUUCUGUGCCGCCGCUGCUGCUGGAGCCGUCGCCACGACCGAGGACACCCCGGUGCCGACCCGAACCCUCUCACCGGAAAAGGCCGAACCGAACCGAAUCGAACCGAACCCGCCCAGUUAACCGAGCAUCUCUUCAUAUCUGCCCCCCCACCCCCACCCCGACCUCCUGACUCUUCGGGGCCCCAUCUUGGCCACUCAGCAGUCCAUCCACGGCUCCAGGUCACGCAGGAGGGAGGGAGGAGAGAGAUAGAUAGAGAGAGAGAGAGAGAGAGAGAGAGGUGAUCUCUUGAUCCGUACAGUAGCUGUGAUGUCCAGUCGGUGCAGCUGUGCAUUUGACCGUGGUCUAACGUGUUAUCUAUUCUGCACUGAGCUGAAUGAGUUCCACAUGCUGGCACUUUGAGGGGCCGGCGCUGGAAUGGAAAGAUCACACGGCAGCCACGUGCGCUGCCUCCUCGCAUGCUCUCUCUCGCCUCCAUUGUCCCGGAGCAGUUUGCGGGCGGCAGGAUGCCCCGUAGAAAAGUACAGGACCCGGUGUCAUGUUGAGCUUUUCUUUUGAGCGUGAAUGUAGCACCAGCGUCAGUCCUCUGAACUCUGACCCCUCCGGAGGACUCGCAGUAAAGCAGCUGUUUUCAGACCUUUUACGAUCCAAUUAAUUCAGUGCCUCGCGUCAUGUAUUGUUUUAAAAUGGUCCCAUUCUAACUACGUAUUUCAGCACUCAGGAAAUUGGCUCAUCAGGUUACCACUGCUGCUCCAAAACUCACCAAUCCAGUUGUUGUUUCCUCGCUCUUUCAUAUUCUGCAUUAGCUCUGGGAGUCAUGGCUGCUGCUCUCACCAGUACCUCAUUGUGCAAUCUUUCAUUUUAUAACCUAAUCUUUAUGACUUUUCACUGACGAGCACAUGCCAGGAAAAAGUUCAAAUGCUUGCUGCGCCCUUCAAAAGAGCUCCACCAACACUGCCGACUUGUUCCUCUCCUUGCCUACUAUACUAUUUGGCAUUAAUCCACAGAGCGAACGUGGGCGGGUUGUGUGAACUCUGCUUGUUUAGAAUUCAUGAGCAGAGGGGUCAUUAAUUCUCUGACUUCAGAAUCGCAUCACGUGGACAUUUCUGGGCGAGUCAGUGAACGCGUGAAAGCGGCAGUUUGUAGGGAAAACGUCGCCAAACAAACAAACAAACAAACAAACUGGGAAUAUUGGUUGAGGCUGAGGUUUAGAGAAAGAGAGGAGACACGUCAACUGUGUCUGUUGCCGUUCUGGUUUUUUUUUUAACUCUGUGUGUGUGUGUGUUACUUAUUAAGAGGGAAUGCAACAAGUAGAACCAGAUGUGGGCCGAGCGUCUCCAGGCCCCGUUCACACACAUCUGAAUCCCCAAGCUAAACCGCCACAUUGACAUUUUUUUUACAGGGGAACAGGAAACAAAACAGCCUACUUUUUUUUUUUAACCUGGCAGAGUGUCCCCUAGAUAGAUUUGUCUUUGAACGAUGUUGUCUAUAGUGGUUUCACUAGAGAUUGAACAAUUCAAGAUGUUGAUGGGCAGAAGGUUUCCAGCUUGUCACAAAUACAUCUUCAUCUUUCUCCUUGUACUUGCUUUUGAAUUUGUUUCUAUCAAAGCAAAUUCCUCCUAUGUCAAAACCUACUACAAUAAUCUGAUUGUGAUUGAUUGGGAAAAUGUUGACGGGCGGUUAUCUCUGCUUUCUGGCAUUUUACAUUCAAUGAGAACGUAAUCCAAUCAAUUAUUACAAUAGUUUUUGCCUCAUCAGUUAAUUUCCUUGUCAAAAUCUGGAAAAUGAAGUUGAAUAGUGUGACGGGCGAACCUGCAAACAGUUACCGUUUCUCUUCAGUCAUAUUUCCAUUCUCGAUUUUUUUGUGCAGACUCACCUACACAGGCGUUGUGGUUCCUCACAUGGUCACGAGCAAAACUGCUUAUUAGACCUGAGCGAGUUGCUUCAUGUGUGGCUGCGCCCGCGCGUGUGUGUGUGUUUGCACAUGCAGAAGCACAGGCCCCGCACAAUUGCACACGUCUGAUCAAACAAAGAUACGAGGGUGUGUGCUGACAUUUAGAGUGCACCCUGGAUUACGAGAGUGUGGCAGAGGAGGAUAAACUCCGUGGCGUAACAUCAAUAUUAGUUCAUGUCGGUGAGGUUUAAGUGGUCAUUAGUGUUAAGCUGGUAAGAAUUACACAGCCCUUCAGCUCCAGAGAGAUAAUACAUAAUGCUCCGUAAUGGGACUUCAAUUGUAAUGUGAGGUAAUAAACUCACAGAAGCCGAGGAACCGUUCGAAAUAAAUGGGCAGUUGGUUCUCCUCUCGUUCUUCGUGUCUUUUAUUUCCUGGUUUGUAUCAGGAGUUCCGUGUCUGGGGCUAAAGAUAUUUCAUGAUGACUCAGUGAAAUUACGCUGACUCAUUGAAGAGUACUCGACCCCCUCUUGCUUCCUUCCCUUCCCUGUCGUCACACGUUUUCGACGAGUGACCUCAGUAUCCUGUCUUUCACUAUUUGGAAAAUUUCGGGAAAGACAGACAGACUCUUUGUUUCCCCCGGAGUUGAACCCCUCGAACGGUUGCAUCAGUCAGUCAGUCAACCCAGGAAAAAGGAAGUAUAAACUCCAGAAGAAAACAGUAAAAACUUGGUGACAUUCAAAUUUUUGUCUGGUAAAAUCUUGUCAUGUUUCAGCUGGUGAGACUAUUGUAGUUGUUGUUGACGGGAUCUCAGGUAACUCCUGCUCCUCCAUAUGCUUUGGUAAAGGGGGGCGUCUGUUACUGCAGAAUGAAUGGCCUCAUUGAUGAGUCCUUCGGGAGUUGUCCUGCUUUACUGGCACACACACACACUGGGACGUCGGGGGACAUGGCAACAUGAAUCCAUUCCCUCUGGUGAAGCCUGCUUCCCGUUAAGAUCCUUCUCCAAGCAGCAUGUCACAUUCCUCCUUCGUCUCUUUUCCAUCUGUACUGGUCCGGCUGACGUUGGUUG